UGGGGAAUAUUGGACAAUGGGGGGAACCCUGAUCCAGCCAUGCCGCGUGUGUGAAGAAGGCCUUAUGGUUGUAAAGCACUUUAAGCGAGGAGGAGGGUACUGGUAUUAAUACUACCAGCUACUGGACGUUACUCGCAGAAUAAGCACCGGCUAACUCUGUGCCAGCAGCCGCGGUAAUACAGAGGGUGCGAGCGUUAAUCGGAUUUACUGGGCGUAAAGCGUGCGUAGGCGGCUAAUUGAGUCGGAUGUGAAAUCCCCGAGCUUAACUUGGGAAUUGCAUUCUAUACUGGUUAGCUAGAGUGUGGGAGAGGAUGGUAGAAUUCCAGGUGUAGCGGUGAAAUGCGUAGAGAUCUGGAGGAAUACCGAUGGCGAAGGCAGCCAUCUGGCCUAACACUGACGCUGAGGUACGAAAGCAUGGGGAGCAAACAGG
rnacentral:rRNA from 1 species